GCCAGGCGUGGUGGCGCAUGCCUGUAGUUCCAGCUACUCGGGAGGCUGCGGUGGGAGGAUGCUUGAGCCCAGGAGUUCUGGGCUGUAGUGCGCUAUGCUGAUUGGGAGUCUGCACUGAGUUCGGCAUCAAUAUGGUGACCUCCUGGGAGCAGGGUAACACCAGGUUGCCUAAGGAGGGUUGAACCGGCCCAGGUUAGAAACAGAGCCGGUCAAAACUCCGGUACUGAUCAGUAGUGGGAUGGCACCUGUGAAUAGUCACUGCACUCCUGCCUGGGCAACAUAGCGAGACCCUGUAUCUU
ensembl:misc_RNA Metazoa_SRP Metazoan signal recognition particle RNA